GAGAACAAUCACAUCACUAAAGUCACUUUUAGACAAUCAUUGAUGACACUACAGAGAUGUUCCCACUGUAUUGUGACAUCACUAGUUGGUGAGAUCACAGGGACUUAAGUAGUCUUUAAGCAUAGCUGUGAGGAGUGCUCAGAUUUUUCUGAAGUGAGCACACUCUAUUUUCAUGAUUGUUUCUUUUUUUCUUUAAAGAAAAUUGCUGGAAAGAGAUAAGUUUUGCCCUUACCGACAUCUGACUCAGUAUAGGAACACUGAGAAAACAGUUUCUGAAUCAUCUAAUGAGCUCAUCAAGCAGCAUGCAUAACUCAUAUGCAAAUUUCCUAGCUUAACUUGCUUCCUCUUCCAUCUGUUGGGAUUCUUCACAGUUAUUUAGGUCGCCUGACUCAGCUAAGCACAAGUGAAUGUAACUUCACACAUUUGCUUUCUCAUGUAACAAAUAUUUAAUCAUCUGCUUCUGCGUGCCAAGCAUUGUACCAGCGCCACCAAAGACUAAGGAAGAAUAAUCAGAAGACUCUUGGAUUAAAGGUGUGUGCUAGGGCUGAACCACACACAACUAGAAACAGAUAAGAACAUAAUUGAAGCAAACUGUUGCCUCAGCAUCAAUAGGAAUCUUGAAAAGAAUGCAAAUAAUCAUAAGUACAGCCACCUCUCAGAGUCCAAGAACCCUUGGGGAUAUCUGUGACUGCUCAAGUACCUUAUAUAAUAAAGUGGUAUAGCAUUCACAUAUAA